rnacentral:lncRNA from 1 species
UUGAUAGACAUGUAGAGAUUUUGACUGUAAGGACAGUCAGGGGACAGGGACGCUCCAGAAUUCAUGCUGGAGAGCAGCCUGCCCCACACACUCACGCACCCACAGCACCUUCUCAUACUCUCUGCACACUCACACAUUCUCACACACAUUUGUCAUGCACUCACACACGUUCUCACACAGACGUGCUCACACAUGCUCACACUCACAAGCACCCUCUUACAUUCGCACACACAACUUCUGGAGUCAGAAUUAAAGAGGCUUUUGUUGGGAGUGGGUGGGGUGGCAGAUCUAGAGGGAGGCACAGGAGGAAUUCAACAAUCUUUCGUGGGGCCUGCUUGUGACAGGACUGGGGAGGCGACGGGGUGAAGAAAGAGGACUCAUAUGGACUGGGGGACCCUCCCAGCUCAUCAGAGAACCAGACAGGAAGCACAAAUGAAGCAGAAGCCCUGAUGCGCUGUCUGAGGGGCGAAAGUCAUGCUGGCUGUGGUGAGACCCUCGAUGGGUGUGGACAUCAAGCUGAUCUGAACUCCUGGGCUAAGUUCUAGAUGUAUGUUCUGGCCUGGGGAGGACGUGCUUCCGUUACAGGGCUUCUGGGGAGCGAGUUAGUGCACCUCUGUGGAAGGACGCUUGGCUUGCAUUCUGCACCUUCCUGCCGGCUGGAAGAAUGUGUCAGCUGAGCUCUCGCCACAGUGUCAGGCGUUGUGUCGGGUGCAGGGAAACAAAAAUCCCCAAGACAGAGUCUAUACACCCAAGGAGUUGCUUCUGGAGGAAGCACCUAAGCGGAGAUGGCAAGGGCUGGUAAUCUUGUUUGCUGACUAGCUUGUUGAGAUUGGCUGUGUCUCCCAUGGGUGUGCGUGCCUGCGGGAGGGAGGGAGGGCUGCUGUUUGCUGUGUCUGGAUCUAGAUAAACCGUACCAUGAUCUUGCUGCUUGAGGGAGCUGAGCGUGCACUGUGGCCUGGCUCAGGGCACACCUCCAAAGGUAGCGCCUUGCGUGCUGCCCCAAGAUGAUGAGGCGUCCAGGGAGGCAAGAUGGGGGAAGCAAGUCUGGACAGAGGGCCUGGCUGUUUCAGGGUAAGGCCACAGGCCCUGUGUGAACUCAGAGAAGUUUCCCUCUUUGUAUCCUUCAUCAGAGCCCUGGGGACAGUGCUAGGCUUUAGCAAUACACAAAGUGGACCAAGCUUUUCUUAGGGGGUCCCCUGUUUUGAACCUUUUGGCUCCUUUGGAAAUUCCUACCCGAGGCCCCCUUUAUCUUUAAACAGGUCUCUUUUUUCAGAGAGGAAAACUGUCAGACAAAAAAAUUAUACCACUAAGGAUAACUUAAACGGCUUCUAGAAUUCUACUUAAAAAAAGGGUCUAGAGAGAGAGCAAUGCUUAAUCCAAAACAGUGAAUGUUGGAGAUUUAGACAUUUAUCUAACUAGGGAGAUUCUUUAGGCCAUGGGUUGGCAAACUUUUUCUGUAAAGGGCCAGAUAGCAAAGAUUUUCAGCUUUGCGGGUCACGUGGUCUCAGGGCAACUACUCAACUUUGCCAUUGUUCUGAAAAGUAGCCACGGAUAAUACCAGCUGUGAAUGUGUGGCUGUGUCCCAAUGAAACUUUACUUAUGGGCACCGAAAUUUGAAUUUCAUGUAAGUUUUGCAUGUAAUGAAAUAUUUUUUCUUUUUGCAUAUUUUUAAACCUUUUAAAAAUGUAAAAGAAAUUCUCACCUUGUGGGCUGUACACAAACAGGAUUUGGCUCGUGGGCUGCAGCUUGCCAACUCUUGCCUUCUCAUCACCUCUGCCAUCACAAUCUAGGAUGAGAUCCCCUGUGUCUGGGUGAGGUCACUCUGCUUGGAAAUUCUCUUUUGUAUAGCCUGGCAAUUCAUUCAUUUAGUCAGUCAAGUACUUACUGAGGACCUGCUAUGUGUUCAGGGCUGUGCUGGGUGCUGGGGAUUCAGAAGUGAAUAAGGCAAAAGGCUUGCCCCCCAGUGGCUUACAUUUCCCUGGCCAUGGGGCGAAGAUUUGGGGCCUAGAGGCAAGGAUUUGAGUUUUGGUCUCAGUCUUUGCUUCCCUGCUCUUGGCUCUCUUUUAGCCACUGUCUUGGGGGCUAAGCACAUUUGCAGUGCAGUGCAGAGGAGCCUGAACACAGGUCCUCUAGGGACCAGCCACAGGGGAGCCAUGUGGCAUGCUUGGAACUAAUGCCCUGGGAUAGCUUUAGUGUUCUGAAUUUCCAAUUAAAAAAGUCCAGCCAAAAAAUAAAAAUGAAUAAAAUAGCUUAAAACCCA